rnacentral:rRNA from 1 species
AAACCAACAGGGAUUGCCUCAGUAACGGCGAGUGAAGCGGCAAAAGCUCAAAUUUGAAACCGGUAACGGGUUGUAAUUUGAAGAUUGUGUUUUGGGGACGACCGUGUCUAUGUUCCUUGGAACAGGACGUCACAGAGGGUGAGAAUCCCGUGCGAUGCGGCCUCCGUCCCUCUAUAAAACACUCUCGAAGAGUCGAGUUGUUUGGGAAUGCAGCUCAAAGUGGGUGGUAAAUUCCAUCUAAAGCUAAAUACUGGCGAGAGACCGAUAGCGAACAAGUACAGUGAUGGAAAGAUGAAAAGCACUUUGAAAAGAGAGUGAAACAGUACGUGAAAUUGUUGAAAGGGAAGGGCAUGCCGUCAGAUUGCCAGUAUCGAUUGGCGAGGGUGGAUAAAAGUGUUGGAACGUGGCCUUCGGGUGUUAUAGCCUUCACCAAUACACCCCGACCGAUCGAGGACUGCUUUUAGGAUACUGGCGUAAUGACGGUACGCCGC